GAGGCAGAUGGCGGGCAUGCUAUACAUGCAGUCGCACGCUUCUUUUUCCACCGGAGCUUGCUCCACCGGAAAAAGAGGAGUGGCGAACGGGUGAGUAACACGUGGGUAACCUGCCCAUCAGAAGGGGAUAACACUUGGAAACAGGUGCUAAUACCGUAUAACAAUCGAAACCGCAUGGUUUUGAUUUGAAAGGCGCUUUCGGGUGUCGCUGAUGGAUGGACCCGCGGUGCAUUAGCUAGUUGGUGAGGUAACGGCUCACCAAGGCGACGAUGCAUAGCCGACCUGAGAGGGUGAUCGGCCACAUUGGGACUGAGACACGGCCCAAACUCCUACGGGAGGCAGCAGUAGGGAAUCUUCGGCAAUGGACGAAAGUCUGACCGAGCAACGCCGCGUGAGUGAAGAAGGUUUUCGGAUCGUAAAACUCUGUUGUUAGAGAAGAACAAGGAUGAGAGUAACUGUUCAUCCCUUGACGGUAUCUAACCAGAAAGCCACGGCUAACUACGUGCCAGCAGCCGCGGUAAUACGUAGGUGGCAAGCGUUGUCCGGAUUUAUUGGGCGUAAAGCGAGCGCAGGCGGUUUCUUAAGUCUGAUGUGAAAGCCCCCGGCUCAACCGGGGAGGGUCAUUGGAAACUGGGAGACUUGAGUGCAGAAGAGGAGAGUGGAAUUCCAUGUGUAGCGGUGAAAUGCGUAGAUAUAUGGAGGAACACCAGUGGCGAAGGCGGCUCUCUGGUCUGUAACUGACGCUGAGGCUCGAAAGCGUGGGGAGCAAACAGGAUUAGAUACCCUGGUAGUCCACGCCGUAAACGAUGAGUGCUAAGUGUUGGAGGGUUUCCGCCCUUCAGUGCUGCAGCUAACGCAUUAAGCACUCCGCCUGGGGAGUACGACCGCAAGGUUGAAACUCAAAGGAAUUGACGGGGGCCCGCACAAGCGGUGGAGCAUGUGGUUUAAUUCGAAGCAACGCGAAGAACCUUACCAGGUCUUGACAUCCUUUGACCACUCUAGAGAUAGAGCUUCCCCUUCGGGGGCAAAGUGACAGGUGGUGCAUGGUUGUCGUCAGCUCGUGUCGUGAGAUGUUGGGUUAAGUCCCGCAACGAGCGCAACCCUUAUUGUUAGUUGCCAUCAUUUAGUUGGGCACUCUAGCAAGACUGCCGGUGACAAACCGGAGGAAGGUGGGGAUGACGUCAAAUCAUCAUGCCCCUUAUGACCUGGGCUACACACGUGCUACAAUGGGAAGUACAACGAGUCGCAAAGUCGCGAGGCUAAGCUAAUCUCUUAAAGCUUCUCUCAGUUCGGAUUGUAGGCUGCAACUCGCCUACAUGAAGCCGGAAUCGCUAGUAAUCGCGGAUCAGCACGCCGCGGUGAAUACGUUCCCGGGCCUUGUACACACCGCCCGUCACACCACGAGAGUUUGUAACACCCGAAGUCGGUGAGGUAACCUUUGGAGCCAGCCGCCUAAGUGUGGAUAGAUAUGGG
rnacentral:rRNA from 1 species